GGCCGAAAAUCUAAGGUUUCUUGGGGAAGGUUCGUCCGCCCGAGGUUAGUCGGGAGCUAAGCUCAGGCCGAGAGGCGUAGGCGAUGCACAUACGGUAGAAAUUCCGUAACCACCGAACUUUAAGCAUAAGGGACGCUUUCAUUAAGGUUAUCCCGGGCGAUGGUUGCCCCGGGCGUAAGGGACCGAAAUUUAGUAGGGAAGUAACUGGCGUGAGAGACGAGAAAAGCUUAUGUGUAUACUAAGGUGCCCGUACCGCAAACCGACACAGGUAGAUGGGAUGAGUAUUCUAAGGCCAACGGGAGAAGGGUUGUUAAGGAACUCGGCAAAUUGGCCCCGUAACUUCGGGAUAAGGGGCGCCUGCGAGAGCAGGCCGCAGUGAAAAGGCCCAAGCGACUGUUUAGCAAAAACACAGCUCUCUGCUAAAUCGAAAGAUGACGUAUAGGGGGUGACGCCUGCCCGGUGCUGGAAGGUUAAGGGGAGUGCUUAGCGCAAGCGAAGGUGCGAACUUAAGCCCCAGUAAACGGCGGCCGUAACUAUAACGGUCCUAAGGUAGCGAAAUUCCUUGUCAGGUAAGUUCUGACCCGCACGAAUGGCGUAACGAUUUGGGCACUGUCUCAACAGCCCGCCCGGCGAAAUUGUAGUACCGGUGAAGAUGCCGGUUUCCCGCAACUAGACGGAAAGACCCCAUGGAGCUUCACUGUAGCUUGAUAUUGGAUCUCGGUAUUCCAUGUACAGGAUAGGUGGGAGGCUAGGAAGCGAGCGCGCCAGCGUUCGUGGAGCCAACCUUGGGAUACCACUCUUGGGAUAUUGGGAUUCUAACCUGCGGCCAUGAAUCUGGUCGGGGGACACUGUAAGGUGGGCAGUUUGACUGGGGCGGUCGCCUCCUAAAGAGUAACGGAGGCGCUCAAAGGUUCGUUCAGCACGGACGGAAAUCGUGCACUGAGUGUAAACGCAUAAACGAGCCUAACUGCGAGAAUGACGGUUCGAGCAGUAACGAAAGUUGGAGUUAGUGAUCCGGCGGUAUGUGAAUGGAAAUGCCGUCGCUCAACGGAUAAAAGCUACCCUGGGGAUAACAGGCUGAUCUCCCCCAAGAGUCCACAUCGACGGGGAGGUUUGGCACCUCGAUGUCGGCUCAUCGCAUCCUGGGGCUGAAUUCGGUCCCAAGGGUUUGGCUGUUCGCCAAUUAAAGCGGUACGCGAGCUGGGUUCAGAACGUCGUGAGACAGUUCGGUCCCUAUCUGUUGCGGGCGCAGGAAUAUUGAGAGGAGCUGUCCUUAGUACGAGAGGACCGGGAUGGACGUACCGCUGGUGCACCAGUUGUUCUGCCAAGGGCAUAGCUGGGUAGCUAAGUACGGACGAGAUAAACGCUGAAGGCAUCUAAGCGUGAAACUCCCCUCGAGAUAAGUGUUCCCAUCCUUCGGGAGUAAGGCCCCUUGUAGACUACAAGGUUGAUAGGUCAGGAGUGGAAGUGCAGUAAUGUAUGGAGCGGACUGAUACUAAUAGGCCGAGGGCUUGACU
rnacentral:rRNA from 1 species